UGGUGGAAGCUGAACAUGAAACCGCACUACUUGCACGGGCUGAGAGGAUGACCACAUGAUUGUGCUUAAUGAACUUUGACUGGCAUGCUUAAAGACAGUGCUGCACCUACUUGAGGAUGUGAGAGGAAAGUGGAUCGAUGCAGGAUGCAAACUAUAUAUAUAUAUAUUUAUAUAUAUGUAUGGUGGAUAGAGCCAUGAUGCCCUACAUGUUUCCUCGUAAGCAUUGUGAAUUCUGGUUCACUUGUUUCCCAAGCAUGCAUUAUGCUUUUCCAGCUGCUACGCACAUCAAGAUUCAAGAAAAUUUAAUUCGAGGUGGGAUCGAUAUUUGUAGGCAACCAUCAACAAUUACAAGAAGUGGAAACUUUGUGUGAAAUGUACGGUUUUGCGUAAGACUGACCAGGCCAGGUUCCUUUAAUUAAGAUGGUUUCACACUAGAAAACAAUGGCUCAAUUGCUCAUUUCAAAAUUGUUGGGUGUACGUAAUUGAGAGGUCUCUCUAAUUCUUGGUUAGUUUAGGGCUUGUUUGCUUGGAGCCUAAUUCUGUUUGUGUGCAGCCCAAUUUGAUGAUAUGAUCUGACAAGAAUUCAUUACGAUCUUUUGGUGGAUUUUCAAAGAGGUUUGAACUAUGAAACACGGGUUGGACCCGUAAUUAGGGUUUCCUAUUAAUUGUAUUAAAUUCAUGUACGACUGCAUUGUAUCUUUAAUCUUUCAUCUGAAUAAAAUCUUUUGCAUACAGCUCUGUGGACACUGGACGUAAGCACGUUUUGGAACCACAUAAAUCUUAUGUUUAUAUGUUAUUGAUUUCAUUUUUGCUCUAUUUUUUCUCUUAUCAUUCAUAACAGUUAGAUGGUGGCAUGAAAAUUAAGAAACUGGAGACUCCAUCACGCUCACUGUGGAACUCUUUCACUCCAACAACCACUGAAAAAGAAGUCGAAUAGAAAAUUAUGUGUCGUGCCGCUUGAAAUCUUAUCCUUGAUCAUUGCAAGUUUGAGCUAAAACAAUGCUUUCAAGUAUCAGUCGAAGCAGUCUCGUGCCUUCGACAACACUUGUACUUGGCAAGCAAGCAUACAGCCUCAUUAAGAGUUCUAGAUCUGUCCGAUCAACUAUUUCCAAGCCUGCUUUUCGACACAUCACGCAUUAACAAGGUGAAAGACUUCCACAUAAGCCAAUAUAAAAAGAUCAUAUGUUUGGUAAAUAACUUUGCUUCUAAAAUUUUUUCUCUUUUUUCAAAAUUCAAUAAAACAUUUUCACUCAAAUCAUUUCAAUAGUAUUCACACAAUUUUAAAAUACUCUAAACAUCCGAACA